rnacentral:tRNA from 1 species
GUCCCCGUAGUAUAAUGGAUAGAACUCUCCCCUCCGAAGGGAGAAAUGUGAGUUCAAGUCUCACCGGGGACA